ensembl:rRNA 5S_rRNA 5S ribosomal RNA
UUCUAUGGCCACACCACCCUGAACGCGCCCGAUCUCAUCUGAUCUCAGAAGCUAAGCAGGGUCACAACUGCUUAGUACUUGGAUGGGAGACCGCCUGGGAUUACUGGGUGCUAUAGGCU